UGGUGGGGUAAAGGCCUACCAAGGCGACGAUCUGUAGCGGGUCUGAGAGGAUGAUCCGCCACACUGGGACUGAGACACGGCCCAGACUCCUACGGGAGGCAGCAGUGGGGAAUAUUGGACAAUGGGCGGAAGCCUGAUCCAGCCAUGCCGCGUGUGUGAAGAAGGCCUUUUGGUUGUAAAGCACUUUAAGCGAGGAGGAGGCUACUUGGAUUAAUACUCUAGGAUAGUGGACGUUACUCGCAGAAUAAGCACCGGCUAACUCUGUGCCAGCAGCCGCGGUAAUACAGAGGGUGCGAGCGUUAAUCGGAUUUACUGGGCGUAAAGCGUGCGUAGGCGGCUUCUUAAGUCGGAUGUGAAAUCCCUGAGCUUAACUUAGGAAUUGCAUUCGAUACUGGGAAGCUAGAGUAUGGGAGAGGAUGGUAGAAUUCCAGGUGUAGCGGUGAAAUGCGUAGAGAUCU
rnacentral:rRNA from 1 species